UGCCAGCCGCCGCGGUAAUACGGAGGGUGCAAGCGUUAUCCGGAAUCACUGGGUUUAAAGGGUGCGUAGGCGGCGCUAUUAGUCAGAGGUGAAAUCUUGCGGCUUAACCGUAAAAUUGCCUUUGAAACUGUAGCGCUUGAAUCACGUUGAGGUCAGCGGAAUGUGACAUGUAGCGGUGAAAUGCAUAGAUAUGUCAUAGAACACCAAUUGCGUAGGCAGCUGGCUAGGCGUGUAUUGACGCUGAGGCACGAAAGCGUGGGGAGCGAACAGGAUUAGAUA
rnacentral:rRNA from 1 species